rnacentral:rRNA from 1 species
GACGAACGCUGGCGGCGUGCUUAACACAUGCAAGUCGAACGGAAAGGCCCUGCUUUUGUGGCGUGCUCGAGUGGCGAACGCGUGUGUAACACGCGAGUAACCUGCCCUUGACUUUGUGAUAACUUCAGGAAACUGGGGCUAAUACCCGAUAGGAGCUCUUGCUGCACGGUGGUGGUUGGAAAGUUUCGGCGGUUGGGGAUUGACUCGCGGCUUAUCAGCUUGUUGGUGGGGUAGUGGCUUACCAAGGCUUUGACGGGUAGCCGGCCUGAGAGGGUGACCGGGCACAUGGGGACUGAGAUACGGCCCAGACUCCUACGGGAGGCAGCAGUGGGGAAUAUUGCACAAUGGGCGGAAGCCUGAUGCAGCAACGCCGCGUGCGGGAUGACGGCCUUCGGGUUGUAAACCGCUGUCGCCUGUGACGAAGCGUGAGUGACGGUAAUGGGUAAGGAAGCACCGGCUAACUACGUG